GGUGGAGUAGUUCAGUUGGUUAGAACAAUGGAAUCAUAAUCCAUAUGUCGGGGGUUCAAGUCCCUCUUCCACUA
rnacentral:tRNA from 1 species